UUGAAAGCCCUGGAGAUUGAAGUCCCCUAAUUAUCCAGAAAACAGGUAUAGCACAGACAGCAGCAGCGUAAACUUCCCCCAUGCUGCCCCUCCAAUUAUACAGUAUUUUUAAUUUUCUAUCAGACACAGGCUAGGCCUCCUUGUGAGAGAGUGCAUGAGCCAAAUUAAUCUGAGUUAUUCAUUUCCUUUCCUAU
rnacentral:sRNA from 1 species